rnacentral:rRNA from 2 species
GGUUAAGCGACUAAGCGUACACGGUGGAUGCCCUGGCAGUCAGAGGCGAUGAAGGGCGUGCUAAUCUGCGAUAAGCGCCGGUAAGGUGAUAUGAACCGUUAUAACCGGCGAUACCCGAAUGGGGAAACCCAGUGUGAUUCGUCACACUAUCAUUAACUGAAUCCAUAGGUUAAUGAGGCGAACCGGGGGAACUGAAACAUCUAAGUACCCCGAGGAAAAGAAAUCAACCGAGAUUCCCCCAGUAGCGGCGAGCGAACGGGGAGGAGCCCAGAGCCUGAAUCAGCAUGUGUGUUAGUGGAAGCGUCUGGAAAGGCGCGCGAUACAGGGUGACAGCCCCGUACACAAAAGCGCAUGUGCUGUGAGCUCGAUGAGUAGGGCGGGACACGUGGUAUCCUGUCUGAAUAUGGGGGGACCAUCCUCCAAGGCUAAAUACUCCUGACUGACCGAUAGUGAACCAGUACCGUGAGGGAAAGGCGAAAAGAACCCCGGCGAGGGGAGUGAAAAAGAACCUGAAACCGUGUACGUACAAGCAGUGGGAGCACCCUUCGGGGUGUGACUGCGUACCUUUUGUAUAAUGGGUCAGCGACUUAUAUUCUGUAGCAAGGUUAACCGUAUAGGGGAGCCGGAGGGAAACCGAGUCUUAACCGGGCGUUAAGUUGCAGGGUAUAGACCCGAAACCCGGUGAUCUAGCCAUGGGCAGGUUGAAGGUUGGGUAACACUAACUGGAGGACCGAACCGACUAAUGUUGAAAAAUUAGCGGAUGACCUGUGGCUGGGGGUGAAAGGCCAAUCAAACCGGGAGAUAGCUGGUUCUCCCCGAAAGCUAUUUAGGUAGCGCCUCGUGAAUUCAUCUCCGGGGGUAGAGCACUGUUUCGGCUAGGGGGCCAUCCCGGCUUACCAACCCGAUGCAAACUGCGAAUACCGGAGAAUGUUAUCACGGGAGACACACGGCGGGUGCUAACGUCCGUCGUGAAGAGGGAAACAACCCAGACCGCCAGCUAAGGUCCCAAAGUCAUGGUUAAGUGGGAAACGAUGUGGGAAGGCCCAGACAGCCAGGAUGUUGGCUUAGAAGCAGCCAUCAUUUAAAGAAAGCGUAAUAGCUCACUGGUCGAGUCGGCCUGCGCGGAAGAUGUAACGGGGCUAAACCAUGCACCGAAGCUGCGGCAGCGAACGUAUCACCCAAGACAACUUUACGGAGUUGACGAUUGACGGAGCGAAGCGACGUCAAAGCGUUCAUUAAAGUCGAGUUGGCUUAGGGAUACGUUCGUUGGGUAGGGGAGCGUUCUGUAAGCCUGUGAAGGUGUGUCGUGAGGCAUGCUGGAGGUAUCAGAAGUGCGAAUGCUGACAUAAGUAACGAUAAAGCGGGUGAAAAGCCCGCUCGCCGGAAGACCAAGGGUUCCUGUCCAACGUUAAUCGGGGCAGGGUGAGUCGACCCCUAAGGCGAGGCCGAAAGGCGUAGUCGAUGGGAAACGGGUUAAUAUUCCCGUACUUGGUGUUACUGCGAAGGGGGGACGGAGAAGGCUAUGUUGGCCGGGCGACGGUUGUCCCGGUUUAAGCGUGUAGGUGUGUGUUCCAGGUAAAUCCGGUUCACUUUAACACUGAGGCGUGACGACGAGGCACUACGGUGCUGAAGCAACAAAUGCCCUGCUUCCAGGAAAAGCCUCUAAGCAUCAGGUAACACGAAAUCGUACCCCAAACCGACACAGGUGGUCAGGUAGAGAAUACCAAGGCGCUUGAGAGAACUCGGGUGAAGGAACUAGGCAAAAUGGUGCCGUAACUUCGGGAGAAGGCACGCUGACACGUAGGUGAAGUGAUUUACUCAUGGAGCUGAAGUCAGUCGAAGAUACCAGCUGGCUGCAACUGUUUAUUAAAAACACAGCACUGUGCAAACACGAAAGUGGACGUAUACGGUGUGACGCCUGCCCGGUGCCGGAAGGUUAAUUGAUGGGGUCAGCGUAAGCGAAGCUCCUGAUCGAAGCCCCGGUAAACGGCGGCCGUAACUAUAACGGUCCUAAGGUAGCGAAAUUCCUUGUCGGGUAAGUUCCGACCUGCACGAAUGGCGUAAUGAUGGCCAGGCUGUCUCCACCCGAGACUCAGUGAAAUUGAACUCGCUGUGAAGAUGCAGUGUACCCGCGGCAAGACGGAAAGACCCCGUGAACCUUUACUAUAGCUUGACACUGAACAUUGAGCCUUGAUGUGUAGGAUAGGUGGGAGGCUUUGAAGUGUGGACGCCAGUCUGCAUGGAGCCGACCUUGAAAUACCACCCUUUAAUGUUUGAUGUUCUAACGUGGACCCGUAAUCCGGGUUGCGGACAGUGUCUGGUGGGUAGUUUGACUGGGGCGGUCUCCUCCUAAAGAGUAACGGAGGAGCACGAAGGUUGGCUAAUCCUGGUCGGACAUCAGGAGGUUAGUGCAAUGGCAUAAGCCAGCUUGACUGCGAGCGUGACGGCGCGAGCAGGUGCGAAAGCAGGUCAUAGUGAUCCGGUGGUUCUGAAUGGAAGGGCCAUCGCUCAACGGAUAAAAGGUACUCCGGGGAUAACAGGCUGAUACCGCCCAAGAGUUCAUAUCGACGGCGGUGUUUGGCACCUCGAUGUCGGCUCAUCACAUCCUGGGGCUGAAGUAGGUCCCAAGGGUAUGGCUGUUCGCCAUUUAAAGUGGUACGCGAGCUGGGUUUAGAACGUCGUGAGACAGUUCGGUCCCUAUCUGCCGUGGGCGCUGGAGAACUGAGGGGGGCUGCUCCUAGUACGAGAGGACCGGAGUGGACGCAUCACUGGUGUUCGGGUUGUCAUGCCAAUGGCACUGCCCGGUAGCUAAAUGCGGAAGAGAUAAGUGCUGAAAGCAUCUAAGCACGAAACUUGCCCCGAGAUGAGUUCUCCCUGAGACUUAGAGUCUCCUGAAGGAACGUUGAAGACGACGACGUUGAUAGGCCGGGUGUGUAAGCGCAGCGAUGCGUUGAGCUAACCGGUACUAAUGAACCGUGAGGCUUAACCUU